rnacentral:siRNA from 1 species
UCAUUGCAUCAUUUAAGGUGUCAA